rnacentral:rRNA from 1 species
CUAUGCGCCUUGCCAGCCCGCUCAGGUGUGCCAGCCGCCGCGGUAAUACGGAGGAUGCGAGCGUUAUCCGGAUUUAUGGGUUAAAGGGUGCGUAGGCGGUCCGUUAAGUCAGCGGUAAAAUUGCGGGGCUCAACCCCGUCGAGCCGUUGAAACUGUCAGACUUGAGUUGGCGAGAAGUACGCGGAAUGCGCGGUGUAGCGGUGAAAUGCAUAGAUAUCGCGCAGAACUCCGAUUGCGAAGGCAGCGUACCGGCGCCAGACUGACGCUGAGGCACGAAAGCGUGGGGAUCGAACAGG